CUCCCUUUCCCAUUCUCUGCAGACCAUCUCCUAAACCCCUUAUCUAUCACUAAUUAAUUAAGACAUACAUUUUGCUCAGUGGGAACAACUUAGUAGUUGUUUUAAUUUUCUGAAGACCGUAUGUAGUUUUGGAAGAUUCUCUUGUUUUGAAUUUCUAAUAUUUUCAAAUUCAUUAUCAUCUCGAUUAAGUCAAAGCAAUAUAAUGUAGUGAAACUAUAUCAGACUAGGUUACAUUUCAUAGAUAAAAGAACACUUAAUCAACAAAUGAAUAUAUAUGUAAAAAAGAAGAAAAUGAAUUUCGUGUUUGGGUUCAUUUGGUAUUUUAUACAUAUUUUUUUUUUUUCACAGGGAACAACUUUGAAAAUGGUAAAUGUUGUGAGAGCUUUACUAAAAGGGGAGAAGCUAAUAAGGGGAGUAUCGUGAUGGGCCUCUUGUUGAGUACCAAGCCAAUAUGUACAUGCACAGAAAAUGUUAAAGAGUGUUUGGAACGACAUAUUAGAUCAUCACUAUAUGAAUGGUAGACUUUGUUGCCAUAAUUAAUACUAAUUACAAAUCUGCUGAACCUUAAAUUUGUCUUCUACAUACAUAUUUUACAAGUCACGAGACUUCUUCUUCUAUAACUUGAAUUCGCA
rnacentral:lncRNA from 1 species